UACGAAGGGGGCUAGCGUUGCUCGGAAUCACUGGGCGUAAAGCGCACGUAGGCGGACUCUUAAGUCGGUGGUGAAAUCCUGGAGCUCAACUCCAGAACUGCCUUCGAUACUGGGAGUCUCGAGUUCGGGAGAGGUGAGUGGAACUGCGAGUGUAGAGGUGAAAUUCGUAGAUAUUCGCAAGAACACCAGUUGCGAAGGCGGCCGUCUGGACACAUAUUGACGCUGAGGCUCGAAAGCAUGGGGAGCAAACAGGG
rnacentral:rRNA from 1 species